rnacentral:rRNA from 2 species
UUGGGAAUCUUGCGCAAUGGGGGAAACCCUGACGCAGCGACGCCGCGUGCGGGAUGACGGUCUUCGGAUUGUAAACCGCUUUUCUCGAGGACGAUAAUGACGGUACUCGAGGAAUCAGCCCCGGCUAACUCCGUGCCAGCAGCCGCGGUAAGACGGAGGGGGCAAGCGUUGUCCGGAAUUACUGGGCGUAAAGCGCUCGUAGGCGGUGUCAUACGGCGGUGGUGAAAGCUCCCGGCUCAACUGGGAGAGGCCCGCCGCAACGGUGGCACUUGAGGUUGGUAGAGGCAGAUGGAAUUCCUGGUGUAGCGGUGAAAUGCGUAGAGAUCAGGAGGAACACCCAUGGCGAAGGCAGUCUGCUGGGCCACACCUGACGCUGAGGAGCGAAAGCCAGGGGAGCGAACGGG